rnacentral:misc_RNA from 1 species
UUUGGCAAACCAUGUUUUGGUACGUGGCGUUGUGUCUAGAAGUUGCUCUACCUUCAAUAAGUGAAGGACUCAAGCGGUUAUUAGUUUCUAGCCGAUAUACCGCUUACUUAGGAAGAAGAUGCAAGAAAACAGAAAGGAAAGGAAUAUCAAAGUUUUCAAAGUUUCUCUUUAGUCACCAUUGAAGUAUGUAUCAUACAGACAUAACAAGGCUCUGAUACCAAGAUAAGUCGGGAGCCCUUAUCAUACAUAUAAUG